AUGAACGUUGGCGGCGUGCCUAACACAUGCAAGUCGAGCGUGAAAGUCCUUCGGGAUGAGUAAAGCGGCAGACGGGUGAGUAACGCGUGAGAAUUUUCCUUUCAGUGAAGAAUACCUUUGGGAAACUAAAGUUAAUACUGCAUACGUCUCGAAAGAGAGAAAGAUGGCCUAAUUGCUGUCGCUGGAAGAUAAGCUUGCGUUCUAUUAGCUAGUUGGUGAGGUAAAGGCUCACCAAGGCGAUGAUGGAUAGCCGGCCUGAGAGGGCGAACGGCCACAUUGGAACUUAGACACGGUCCAAACUCCUACGGGAGGCAGCAGUGAGGAAUAUUGCACAAUGGGCGAAAGCCUGAUGCAGCGACGCCGCGUGGAGGAUGACGGUCUUCGGAUUGUAAACUCCUGUUAAGUGUGAAAAAAGACUCGUUUUUAAUAGAAACGAGGGAUGAUGGUAACACUAGAGAAAGCACCGGCUAACUUCGUGCCAGCAGCCGCGGUAAUACGAGGGGUGCAAACGUUAUUCGGAAUCACUGGGCGUAAAGGGUGCGUAGACGGCAAUAUAAGUCAAUUAUUAAAUCUCCUGGCUUAACUAGGAGUCUGUGAUUGAAACUAUGUUGCUUGAGGAUGGAAGAGAGAAGUGGAAUUCUCGGAGUAGCGGUAAAAUGCGUAGAUCUCGAGAGGAACACCGAUGGCGAAGGCAGCUUCUUGGUCCAUUUCUGACGUUGAGGCACGAAAGCGUGGGGAGCAAACAGGAUUAGAUACCCUGGUAGUCCACGCUGUAAACGAUGAUCAUUAGAUGUUAGAUCCGCUUUAGGGUUUAGUAUCGCAGCUAACGCGUUAAAUGAUCCGCCUGGGAAGUACGGUCGCAAGAUUAAAACUUAAAGGAAUUGACGGGGGUCCGCACAAGCGGUGGAACAUGUGGUUUAAUUCGACACUACGCGAGGAACCUUACCUAGGCUUGACAUGCAUUUGACAGGUAUGGAAACAUACUCUUCUAAGCUUCGGUUUAGACAUUUGCACAGGUGCUGCAUGGCUGUCGUCAGCUCGUGUCGUGAGAUGUUUGGUUAAGUCCUCUAACGAGCGCAACUCCUAUCACUAGUUGCAACCCUUUAUUGGGGCACUCUAGUGAAACUGCCUGGGAAACCAGGAGGAAGGUGGGAAUGACGUCAAGUCAUCAUGGUCCUUACGUCUAGGGCUACACACGUGUUACAAUGGCUAGUACAAAGAGUUGCAAGCUUGUAAAAGUAAGCUAAUCUCAUAAAACUAGUCUAAGUUCGGAUUGAGGUCUGCAAUUCGACCUCAUGAAGUUGAAAUCGCUAGUAAUCGCGCAUCAGAACGGCGCGGUGAAUUCGUUCUCGGACCUUGUACACACCGCCCGUCAAACCAUGAGAGUCUUUUGUGCCCGAAGUUGUUUUAGCUAACCGUAAGGGGGCGAACAGUGACGGUAUGGGAGAUGAUUGGGGUU
rnacentral:rRNA from 1 species